UACGGAGGGAGCUAGCGUUAUUCGGAAUUACUGGGCGUAAAGCGCACGUAGGCGGCUUUGUAAGAUUACGAGGUGAAAGCCUGGAGCUCAACUCCAGAAUUGCCUUUAAGACUGCAUCGCUUGAAUCCAGGAGAGGUGAGUGGAAUUCCGAAGUGUAGAGGUGAAAUUCGAUAGAUAUUCGGAAGAACACCACGUGGCGAAGGACGGCUCACAUGG
rnacentral:rRNA from 1 species